GAAGUCGUAACAAGGUUUCCGUAGUGAUUACUCUUCACAUGCGGUUGUCAGUCGAAAAAGGGCUGGCAAGUGGGGCACUUGGUGCCCUGCGAGACUGUCAAAUUGCCGGAAACACCUGCUAAGCGAUUAGUACCGCCUGCUGUUGGAAACUUCAGUUUGGCACCGGGGGGAAACUCACGGGUAUGGUAAAAAUCUAAUCGAUAGGGUCAAUCGGCAGCCAACUCCUAAAUACGAUCCGGCAAGCAUGGGAAUUGAACCCAUGCUUAUGACCCGCCAGGGCUUGCUCUUUAGGGGGCGAGAGGUGGUGGCAUGCUGGUUUACAAUCGUACAUGGAGGCAGUUCAUCGACUAAAUGGCAGUCGGCGAAAACACAAGACACAUACUUCAACAACCACCUCUACUUCGGUUUCUUGAAGGAUUGUCUUGCUUGUUUGUCGCUUAAGAUAUAGUCAGGCCACACAGAAAUGUGUACUACCGGAGGACAGCAGUAGGUUGGCAUGUCCAGGGUGCAGGUGGGAGCCUGCCACGUAGGCGCCAAAAUCGAAUUUUUCGAAACUUCGCCGAAGCUUCCUAAGGGUCCCUGAUAGCUUCCUAAGGAGUCCUAAGGGGUCCUCGCAGCUUCCAAGGGCCUUCCUGGUGCUGGACAUGUCUUACUGAAUCGCUUGAGAGCCGGUAGUGGAUCAUGGUGAAAUACUCCAUUUCGCAAGAAUUGGAGGGCGGUACCACUUGCCUCAUGGUCCGGAGUAACCGAGGUGAACCUGCGGAAGGAUCAUUGAAUAUGCAAACCACAACACGCACUCUUUUAUCUGUGUACCGACGUUAGGUCGAACCCUCACCGGUUUGGCCUACUUACACACACACACACCAUUGACCAACCAUUGAUCAAACCAAACUCUGAAGUUUCGGCUGCUGUUAAUCGGCAGUUUUAACGAAAACAACUCUCAACAACGGAUAUCUUGGCUCUCGCAACGAUGAAGAACGCAGCGAAAUGCGAUACGUAGUGUGAAUUGCAGAAUUCCGUGAACCAUCGAAUCUUUGAACGCAUAUUGCGCUCGACUCCUCGGAGAAGAGCAUGUCUGCCUCAGCGUCGGUUUACACCCUCACCCCUCUUCCUCUUCGGAGGGAGCUUGUCGUGCUUGCUUAAGCCGGCAUCAGGGGUGGAUCUGGCCCUCCCAAUCGGACUCACCUCUGGUUGGGUUGGCUGAAGCACAGAGGCUUAAACUGGGACCCGAUUCGGGCUCAACUGGAUAGGUAGCAACACCCUUGUGGUGCCUACACGAAGUUGUGUCUGAGGACCUGGUUAGGAGCCAAGCAGGAAACGCGUGCCUUUGGCAUGUAUCUAUGUAUUCGACCUGAGCUCAGGCAAGGCUACCCGCUGAACUUAAGCAUAUCACUAAGCGGAGGAAAAGAAACUAACCAGGA
rnacentral:rRNA from 1 species